rnacentral:tRNA from 1 species
UCCCCAGUGGUCCAGUAGCUGGGACUCUGCACUCCCAAUACAGGGGGCCUGGGUUCUAUUCCUGGUUGGGGAA